rnacentral:lncRNA from 1 species
CGCUGAUUUAUACUCUCAGUGGUGGUGCACAAGGGUUCUAGGUUCUGAAAUGUGAAGUAGGCAGUCUCAACCUACAGCAAAAUGGGGCGUGUGGGGAGCUGGCCCCUGGAUGGAAACAGCUGGACUUCUCCAUCUCAAGACUCAGCCUCUCGGAUUUCAGCCACUGUCCUGCAGCAGGAAAUCACUAUUUGGACUGCAGAGGUGCCUCUUCCUGCCUUAGCCCCUGCGGAGGGGAGAGGGCCAGGGAGGGGGCCUUCCUGCCUACCUGGACCAGACCUUGAGUUGGUCAGGAGCACCCCCAACCCCAGUUCUCCCAGCCACUCAAGUUCCUUGAACCCAGCCCGGGUAAGGAACUGGGUUGAGCGGGGACUGAAGAGAAGCCCUCCCACCAUCGUCCAUCCUCCUGGGGACAGGGAGGCAGCAGUGAGAGAAGUGGACACUCCCCACAGCCAUGGUGGGUGGACGGCACCCCUCAUUGAGGUCAGCUAAGUCACAAACACAUGCCCUGAGGCCCAUUGAUCCCACCUUCAGGACUAUUCUACAGAAACUGCUCAUUUGUUCAAAAGGACAUGCUCAUGUAACUUGUUUAUAACAGAGAUGAAUGGAUGGGAUUCAGCGGAGCUGGGCACCUGGAUCAUGGCAGCUUAUCCCUCGGGAAGCUCCAGGCCCCUCUUCAAUGUGCUGAAUCCAUCGGGGCCUCUCCACCCUUUGUUCCUGGAAGCAGCGCCGCCAGUUUCCCAGGAGGUCUCCAUCUUUCAAGGGCUUCUUCAGCCACGUCUUCUCCUCAGGACAAUCCAAGGCCAACCACGAGACGUCCUCUCACUCACCCUGAACCCAUCCUGGUUUCCUCCAGGUCCAGGACCGGGUGGAGGGGGGCUUGGUCCAGGCAGCCCUCCCAACGCUCAGCCUCAGUGCUCAGGUCUUCCCCCUCCAACCCCCAACCCCUACCCCACACCAAGGGCCCUGGACACGUGGCCUCUGAGCCUCCCACCAGUCCUGACAGCUUUCUUCGAUCUCAGCCCCCUGGCAAUCAGGGGGUCAACUGCAGCUGGGCCACGUGAAACCCACUCAGGCCACAAACGCGUUCCAGUGCCACGCUGGUUGCCCCCUCCCCAGGCACGGCUCAGCCACUGACACAGGCGUCGCCCUAUGCCUCGGAGCCAUCAUGGCUUCGAGAAACUGGAGUCAGCAGGAGAUUAAUUAAUCAAAACCUGAGCACAUCUGCUGUUAAUUAAUUCUAUGCCAGGGGUUAACUCUUCCCUGUCUGGGCUUCUCCAUCCCUUUGGCCGGAAGAGGGAAAUAAAGGUGGGGAGUGGGUACCCCUCUUCCUUCCUUCCCUCAGGGGGAGAUAUGAAACAAGGGCGGGGGGCCCAGAAACCAGGAAAGCCCUAUUCAUUAGGGAGGGUGCGGGGAGGGCUGUGGGAGUGUUUGCUUUUGAGAGUCC